rnacentral:rRNA from 1 species
UCGCCUGUUUAACAAAAACAUCUCUUCUUGUUAGUUUUUGAAGUAUGGCCUGCCCACUGACUUGUUGAAGGGCCGCGGUAUUUUGACCGUGCAAAGGUAGCAUAAUCAUUAGUUCUUUAAUUGUGAUCUGGUAUGAAUGGCUUGACGAGAUAUAAGCUGUCUUUGGGGUAUUGUUAGUUGAAUUUGGUUUUUGAGUUAAAAUUCUUAAAUGUUUUUAUGGGACGAGAAGACCCUAUAGAGUUUGACAUUUAUUUCCGUUUUUGUGUGUUUGUUUUAUUUUAUUUAAUGGGAAUGCUGUUUUGUUGGGGUGAUGGGAGAUAUUAUUUAACUUCUCUUUGGGGUUGCAUAUUUAUGUAUAAUAGUUUUUGAUCCAUUUAUUUUGAUUAUAAGAUUAAAUUACCUUAGGGAUAACAGCGUCAUCCUCCUUGAGAGUUCUUAUUGGCGGGGGGGUUUGCGACCUCGAUGUUGGAUUAAGAUGAAUUUUUGGUGCAGGAGCUGAAGUGAUUAGGUCUGUUCGACCUUUAAAAUCUUACGUGAUCUGAGUUCAGAACCGGA